UUCCGGUUGAUCCUGCCGGACCUUACUGCUAUCGGGGUGGGACUAAGACAUGCGAGUCGAGCGUCCCUAGCUAUGUUGAGACGCGGCGUACGGCUCAGUAACACGUGGCUAACCUACCCUCAGGACGGGGACAACCCCGGGAAACUGGGGCUAAUACCAGAUAGGUGAGGAUGCCUGGAAUGGUUUCUCACUCAAAGGGCUUUGGAAACAUGCUUCCACUGUCGCCUGAGGAUGGGGCCGCGACCGAUCAGGUUGUUGGUGAGGUAAUGGCUCACCAAGCCUUUAACCGGUACGGGCCGUGAGAGCGGUGGCCCGGAGAUGGGUACUGAGACAAGGGCCCAGGCCCUAUGGGGCGCAGCAGGCGCGAAACCUCUGCAAUAGGCGAAAGCUUGACAGGGUUACUCUGAGUGAUUUCCGUUAAGGAGAUCUUUUGGCACCUCUAAAAAUGGUGCAGAAUAAGGGGUGGGCAAGUCUGGUGUCAGCCGCCGCGGUAAUACCAGCACCCCGAGUGGUCGGGACGUUUAUUGGGCCUAAAGCAUCCGUAGCCGGUUCUACAAGUCUUCCGUUAAAUCCACCUGCUUAACAGAUGGGCUGCGGAAGAUACUAUAGAGCUAGGAGGCGGGAGAGGCAAGCGGUACUCGAUGGGUAGGGGUAAAAUCCGUUGAUCCAUUGAAGACCACCAGUGGCGAAGGCGGCUUGCCAGAACGCGCUCGACGGUGAGGGAUGAAAGCUGGGGGAGCAAACCGGAUUAGAUACCCGGGUAGUCCCAGCUGUAAACGAUGCAGACUCGGUGAUGAGUUGGCUUAUUGCUAACUCAGCGCCGCAGGGAAGCCGUUAAGUUUGCCGCCUGGGGAGUACGGUCGCAAGACUGAAACUUAAAGGAAUUGGCGGGGGAGCACCACAAGGGGUGAAGCCUGCGGUUCAAUUGGAGUCAACGCCGGA
rnacentral:rRNA from 1 species